UCUCUUGGGUUGUCUACAUCUUCGCCAUCUCCUAAUCCCUCUCUUCCUCACACGUAAGGUACAUCCCCUCUCCCUUCCCCAUUACUUUGCUACCUUGGAUUAGAUUUCUCUGGUUGAAAUUGGAGCCUCGUGUAGUUUAGUGUUGAUCUGAGCUACACACUAGCGAUUGCACAAGGUUGUAUUCAAGAGAAUUUUGGAUGGUUGCGGCUGCUGCUGCUGCUGGAUGCAGUUGUUAAAAUUAUAAAGGAAUUCAGUGGGUAAUGUGUCAGAAAGUUAGACAAUUUAGCUAUGGAUAUUUUCAAUAUUUAGCAACUUAAUUUUGGGUUUCAGUGUUCUAUACAUGAAUUUUUGAUGCCUUGCACUUCUAGGAGUUGUGGUUUAUUUAUGCAAACAUGAACCUUAUAUAAGUAAUUGGUGUUCCAUUGAUGUGUCCAAAUGACCAUGAAAUAUAAAAUUGAAUUGUGUAAGUGAAUUGAUGAUGAUACAUGCUUCAGUUUCUGAAGAUUGGGAAGCAAUCCUCGUGACAUUUCCAUGCGAAUCUUUUUAAAUCCACUUUUGGGUGACUCAUUUUUUAUUAUAUUGAAUUUAAAUUCACAUUGGCAUGCCGAGAUUUGUGAAAACUGUUCACUUUUUCUUUUCUGGGUGUAGCAUCUCCAGGCCUACAUGCAAUCAUUAUUUUUGUUAAGCAACAGAAUGCUACAGUUAUGUAGAGAGUUAGAGGCGAGGGGCGAUGAGAGUUGGUUUAUGUUGGUAUUCAACUGGUUGCUUCUUAUGGUUUGGUACGUCUAUAUAAAGCUCACAUGUAUUUCGCUGCAUUUGCCUAAAAAGUGUAUCCGUGUAGAUUUUCAGUACAAAGGUUUGCAUUAAGUAUAUUUUCACUCCAUGCGCAUGAUACAUUUCUUAUCACCCAAUGUGCUGUUUAGGGGAAACUGAUCCUUCUAAUCUGGCAUUCUUUUUGGUCUUCCCUGCUUUAUGUAGUUCAUGCUGACUCCUUAAUUCUUCAGUGAUAAUGAGUUAUUCAUGGAUCUAGCAACUGACUGUAUUUGCUUUGUCUCGAGAUCAUGGAUACUUUUUUUCAUGAGAUCAUGGAUACUUGAAUGCCCUUUGUUGACAAUAUAUGGUUUCUGAUUGUUUUCGUACGUUUAUGCCUCUUCUGAGCUUGCGAAACCCAUUUAUUUUCCCAAAGAUCACUUGUGCCUACUAAGUCUUGGGAUCCAUUUUUUUUCCUAUGUGACCAAUCCCUAGAAGAAUGCAUGCUCCCUAGCCAUAGAAGAAAUCAGCAGGUGGACAAAGUUCAGGGCCUGAGGCAGCAAUAGUUCUUCAAAGGCACUGAGCAAUAAUUGAUUGGUUGAAGGUAGCAUUUUCUGUCGAGAUUCAAUUGACAGGGAAGAAAUUGUUUCUAUAUGUGCCUUUGGUUUUCUUUCGCUUAGGGACUUUGUACAGUUCUUUUUUCAGGGCAAGAGAUUCUUCUGCUAGAUAAGAAAUCGAGCUUCAGUUGACAUGGAGGAAAUUGUUUCUGUCUAUGCCUUUGGUUUUAUUUUACUUAGAGAGUUUCUAUAGUUUUUUUCAGGGGAAGAGAUUCUUCAGCUGGAUGAGAAAGAGCACUCUGAUUAAUUAGAUCAGAAGUUGCGUGUGAUGAUGAUUGCUCGUGCAGACUACAAUGGCACCAACCACCAGGCAUGGUCGUCAGUGAGGCGCCGUCAGUGGACAUGAGUAAAGCUUCUUGACCUAUACGAUUCAUGGUUUGGCAUAUUUGCUUCAUCGGAGUGCUUUGUCUGAGAUGAUUGAGAUCCUUAAUUUGCAUUGGUUUAUCUUUGUCGCAUCUCUUGCAAUACAUUAGUGGAAAGCUUAGCAGUGCUGAUCUUCUAAACUUGAAGUUAAUUAUGACUUGCUUAAACUCAUAAUAAUUUUGUUUCGGAGAGUGCAGAAAUCAUUUUGAGGAAACAGUGAACAAAAAAGUUGGGGCAUCCUGGGUAAUCAGCUUGGAGAAGCCCAGAAAAAUCUGACAGGAGUGGUGACAGUAGCAGCAGCAUGCCUGAUACAAGACCCCUGAAUAGUGAUUGGAGCAUUAAAGCCAUGGUAUUAUUCUCUUUGGAUUUUUUGUUGCAUGUCCUGCUUUGCUUAGGCGUUUAAACGUGUGAUUUGUUUCUACCAGGUGGUAUUCAUUUUUUGCAGCCGUUGGAUGAUGUAUCAU
rnacentral:lncRNA from 1 species